GGAAGGAUCAGUCCCGAUGAUACAAGCCGAUGCCGCCGGAUGCGGCCCCUCUGCCGCUCGGCGUCGUGUCGGGGAGGCUGUCGUGUCAAAAGCGACGGUUUCUUAUCCCUUCUUGUGGCCGCCGGCCACGUUAAUCGGAGUGAGGGCUCAUGCCCCACCCCGCGCCUCAGACGUUCGAGUCGGGUCUGGGGUGCGUGUCCCUACCGAACAGCGAUUAAAUACAUGGGACCUCACUCAUCGUUGGGACGCCUCGUGGCGCCCGCGAGGCCACGGCCAUAUCAUCCAUACAACCGUCGAGAUCAUACAGUUCAUUACAACUGGUAGCGUUGGAUCCCUCGGCAUGGCUAUCGAUGAAGAACGCGGCCAGCUGCGAAAUGUGAUGUGAAUUGCAACUCAAAGCGGUUAUCGUGAAUCAUUGACUAUUUGAACGCAUUGCACCGCCCUUAUGGGAGUGGUACGCCCGAUUGAGAAUCAUAAUCGCCUUCAGGUCGGGACGCUUGGCCGUUCGAUCGGCAGACGCAUCCGCGCCACAAACCACCUCGUCGAGGUGGUGGAGGCGUGUGUGCGUGAGCGCCCCGAUACUGGCUUCGAGGCCGCACGGUGCCCACGGGCGUCGCGCGCCUUCAGAUGCAUUAGUGGCCACCGUGAGGGCGAGUCGGACUCUGUGUAAUGAUCGUUUCGCGCAGAGGAGUGCUUCGGCACACUUGUCCCUCGUCGGUGCCGCUUCGAACCCGCCCCAGGGCAGACCGCAACGGCCUCACGGCCCGCGCCCAUCAUGAAAUUGGUCUCAGUUGGGUGGGAUGACCCGCUUGAUUUAAGCAUAUUAUUCAGCGGAGGAAAAGAAACUAACAAGGAUUCCCCCAGUAACGGCGAGUGAAGAGGGAAGAAGCUCAAAGUGUGAAUCUGGCUUGG
rnacentral:rRNA from 1 species